UCUGGGAUUAGAUACCCUGUUAUUGUAAAUGUAAAUAAAUAAAGAUAGAGUAGUAAUAGUUAUAUUCUUAAAACUUAAUAAAUUUGGCGGUAUUUUAAUCUAGUCAGAGGAACUUGUUUUAUAAUUGAUAAUCCUCAGUAUAUCUUACUUAAUUUUAUUUAAUUUGUAUACCGUCGUCAUAAGAAUCUCUUUAAAAAGAAAAAAUUUUCUAAAAUUUUUAUUAAUAAUAAUGUCAGAUCAAGGUGCAGUUUAUAGUUAAGAAAAAAUGAGUUACAAUAAAUUUAUUUAAUUAUAAUGAAAUUAAAAAUUCAAUUUUUUAAAGAAAGUGGAUUUGAUAGUAAAAUAAAAAAUUAAAUUUAUUUGAUUUUAGUUCUAAAAUAUGUACAAAUCGCCCGUC
rnacentral:rRNA from 1 species